rnacentral:rRNA from 1 species
GAUAAACGCUGGCGGCGUGCCUAAUACAUGCAAGUCGAGCGAACGGACGAGAAGCUUGCUUCUCUGAUGUUAGCGGCGGACGGGUGAGUAACACGUGGAUAACCUACCUAUAAGACUGGGAUAACUUCGGGAAACCGGAGCUAAUACCGGAUAAUAUUUUGAACCGCAUGGUUCAAAAGUGAAAGACGGUCUUGCUGUCACUUAUAGAUGGAUCCGCGCUGCAUUAGCUAGUUGGUAAGGUAACGGCUUACCAAGGCAACGAUGCAUAGCCGACCUGAGAGGGUGAUCGGCCACACUGGAACUGAGACACGGUCCAGACUCCUACGGGAGGCAGCAGUAGGGAAUCUUCCGCAAUGGGCGAAAGCCUGACGGAGCAACGCCGCGUGAGUGAUGAAGGUCUUCGGAUCGUAAAACUCUGUUAUUAGGGAAGAACAUAUGUGUAAGUAACUGUGCACAUCUUGACGGUACCUAAUCAGAAAGCCACGGCUAACUACGUGCCAGCAGCCGCGGUAAUACGUAGGUGGCAAGCGUUAUCCGGAAUUAUUGGGCGUAAAGCGCGCGUAGGCGGUUUUUUAAGUCUGAUGUGAAAGCCCACGGCUCAACCGUGGAGGGUCAUUGGAAACUGGAAAACUUGAGUGCAGAAGAGGAAAGUGGAAUUCCAUGUGUAGCGGUGAAAUGCGCAGAGAUAUGGAGGAACACCAGUGGCGAAGGCGACUUUCUGGUCUGUAACUGACGCUGAUGUGCGAAAGCGUGGGGAUCAAACAGGAUUAGAUACCCUGGUAGUCCACGCCGUAAACGAUGAGUGCUAAGUGUUAGGGGGUUUCCGCCCCUUAGUGCUGCAGCUAACGCAUUAAGCACUCCGCCUGGGGAGUACGACCGCAAGGUUGAAACUCAAAGGAAUUGACGGGGACCCGCACAAGCGGUGGAGCAUGUGGUUUAAUUCGAAGCAACGCGAAGAACCUUACCAAAUCUUGACAUCCUUUGACAACUCUAGAGAUAGAGCCUUCCCCUUCGGGGGACAAAGUGACAGGUGGUGCAUGGUUGUCGUCAGCUCGUGUCGUGAGAUGCUGGGUUAAGUCCCGCAACGAGCGCAACCCUUAAGCUUAGUUGCCAUCAUUAAGUUGGGCACUCUAAGUUGACUGCCGGUGACAAACCGGAGGAAGGUGGGGAUGACGUCAAAUCAUCAUGCCCCUUAUGAUUUGGGCUACACACGUGCUACAAUGGACAAUACAAAGGGCAGCGAAACCGCGAGGUCAAGCAAAUCCCAUAAAGUUGUUCUCAGUUCGGAUUGUAGUCUGCAACUCGACUACAUGAAGCUGGAAUCGCUAGUAAUCGUAGAUCAGCAUGCUACGGUGAAUACGUUCCCGGGUCU